rnacentral:piRNA from 1 species
UGCCCAUGAACUUCAGCAAUGCCAGGGG